rnacentral:rRNA from 1 species
GACGAACGCUGGCGGCGUGCUUAACACAUGCAAGUCGAACGGAGUGGCGAACGGGUGAGUACCCCGUGGGUGAUCUGCCUUGCACUUCGGGAUAAGCUUGGGAAACUGGUUCUAAUACCGGAUAGUGCAAGAUGAGCUCGCGGCCUAGCAGCUUGUUGGGGGGGGAAUGGCCUACCCAGGCGUCGCCGGGUAGCCGGCCUGAGAGGGUUUACGGCCAAAUUGGGACUGAGAUACGGCCCAGAUGCCGAUGGGAGGCAGCAGUGGUGAAUAUUGCACAAUGGGCGGAAGCCUGAUGCAGCGACGCCGCGUGGGGGAUGAAGGCCGUCGGGUUGUAAACUCCUUUCGACAGGGACGCGGUACCUGUAUAAGAAGCACCGGCUAACUACGUGCCAGCAGCCGCGGGAAUAC